rnacentral:rRNA from 1 species
AACGCUGGCGGUAUGUUCAACACAUGCAAGUCGAACGGUCUCUUCGGAGAUAGUGGCGGACGGGUGAGUAACGCGUGAGAAUCUAGCUUCAGGUCGGGGACAACCACUGGAAACGGUGGCUAAUACCGGAUAUGCCGAGAGGUGAAAGGCUAGCUGCCUGAAGAUGAGCUCGCGUCUGAUUAGCUAGUAGGUGUGGUAAAGGCGCACCUAGGCGACGAUCAGUAGCUGGUCUGAGAGGAUGAUCAGCCACACUGGGACUGAGACACGGCCCAGACUCCUACGGGAGGCAGCAGUGGGGAAUUUUCCGCAAUGGGCGAAAGCCUGACGGAGCAAUACCGCGUGAGGGAGGAAGGCUCUUGGGUUGUAAACCUCUUUUCUCAGGGAAGAAAAAAAUGACGGUACCUGAGGAAUAAGCAUCGGCUAACUCCGUGCCAGCAGCCGCGGUAAUACGGAGGAUGCAAGCGUUAUCCGGAAUGAUUGGGCGUAAAGGGUCCGCAGGUGGCUAUGUAAGUCUGCUGUUAAAGAACCUAGCUUAACUAGGUAAAAGCAGUGGAAACUACAAGGCUAGAGUGCGUUCGGGGUAGAGGGAAUUCCUGGUGUAGCGGUGAAAUGCGUAGAUAUCAGGAAGAACACCAGUGGCGAAGGCGCUCUACUAGGCCGCAACUGACACUGAGGGACGAAAGCUAGGGGAGCGAAUGGGAUUAGAUACCCCAGUAGUCCUAGCCGUAAACGGAUGGAUACUAGGCGUGGCUUGUAUC